UACGUAGGGACCAAGCGUUGUUCGGAUUUACUGGGCGUAAAGGGCGCGUAGGCGGCAAUUCAAGUCAGCUGUGAAAUCUCCGGGCCUAACUCGGAACGGUCAGCUGAUACUGCUUUGCUAGAGUACAGAAGGGGCAAUCGGAAUUCUUGGUGUAGCGGUGAAAUGCGUAGAUAUCAAGAGGAACACCUGAGGUGAAGACGGGUUGCUGGGCUGAUACUGACGCUGAGGCGCGAAAGCUAGGGUAGCAAACGGG
rnacentral:rRNA from 1 species